AGAAUAAGUGAUUCAUUUGUCGUUUUGGAUGCAUUCAUGCAGUAGUCUAAUCUGUACAUCCGUAGAGCGUUAUGCUGCUUGUAGCUUCCAAUUUGGAAUCGCGGAAGUAACGGUGAUAAUAACUUUGGCAAUUGGCGAGGAAGUAUAUGAGUUCGAACACAGAUUUCUUCAUUGGGGCAAUAUAUUAAUUGAAAAAACCAACAAAAAACGUAUUUUGUACAAAUUUAACGGCAAGAAUUUUGCUGUUUGUUCAAAAGGAGUAAUCGUUACACUUAUUGACUACACCUUAUCAAGAGUUACUAUAGAUAAAUGUUGCCAUUUUAAUGAUCUCUCAACUGAUGCUGAACUUUUUACUGCAACUGGUGACUACCAAUAUGACAUUUACAGGAUGAUGCGAAAAAAACUGGGAAACAACUGGUCAUCUUUCGCUCCAAAAACAAAUGUGCUGUGGCUAUCAUAUUUAAUUUCGAAAUUACAUGGAAAUGUCAAGUACGAAAGAGAAAACACUAAAACACACAAAAUAAAUUUACUGAAGCUUCAGGAUUUGAAUAAUACUAUAUUUUCGUAUAAAAGUGCUGUUGAUUGUUUAAGAUCUAUAAAAAAAAUGUCUCGGGCAUGC